rnacentral:lncRNA from 1 species
AGGCAAUGAGUGAAUCCUUAUUGAUUGUAGGAGUUAGCUUAUAAAAUACUGCAGUUAGAGAUUGGUAUUAAGCCUUAAUAACCUAAGAUGGGUAGACUGAUUGUGUCUUUUAAUUUUAUCAGCAGACGUUGUAUGUAUGCCACCUUUUCCAUCUUUUAAUUCAUGGCCUUUCAAGAAACAGUCUCCCAAGGAAAAGGGACCUUAAAAAUGAUUACCGUUGUCAUCACCAUCUUUAUAUACUUUAUUAUAUACUUUAUGUAGUCUGAUCUCUCCCAAGUAGUUUCCAGGAUUGAUGGUCACUUUCAAGUAAGGAACAUAAUGUAGCCACGCCUUCCUUGGUUUAGGAGAUUUAUAUGAUACAGAUGAUACUUUUUUCAGAAUUCAUCAAUGUUAAGAAACUUUCUGGCUACCGGAGCUGUAGGAAAAGUUCUUUAUCUAGAUCUCUGGAGGCAAAGCUGAUAUAUGACAGCUACUUUUGCUCUAAAAAUUAUGUAGGUGGCAUGUGAAGAGCCUUGUUUUCUAAGAAGUCUGUUCUGUGGACCAAUUUCGAAUAAUUUGUGGUACUUUUUCUAGUUUUGGAAGGAAAACGUCCCUCUACAUAGAACUGCUGGCAUGGAUGGCCCUUUGAUUUUGGCAUGAGCGAUCGUGCAGCAUGUUUGAGGAGAACCUGUUCUCUCAUAUUUCCUUAACUAAAGAUGGCCUCUUUAGCAAGUUAGAGCUUUUUCAGUCUUAAGCAAUGCCUUUUUGCCCGCUUAGUUGAUGACUGAAAGGAAGAGAGAAUUUGAUCACUGAAUUUUCUGACCUGUCAUUGUGGAUCCGACCAAGUAGUGUUGCAACAAGGCUGAAAAUUGGAUUAGCUGCAUUUAGAAGAGAAACUUAAACCACUCCAGGUAAAAUAACCUUGUAAAGAAAAAGUAAGACUAUUUCAGAGGCCUUGGCUAGGUUCAUGAUGAUACAGGACCUUGUCUGAACAAAGUGAUUUCAAAAUUUGAGCUUAAAAUGACAUUCUGAAAUCCAGUCAAUGUGCCUCAUUACUUUUCAGAGAACAUUAUUCUUGAGAGAAUGUUGGCUUGACAUGUGAAAACUUUGAAUACUUAGAAAUGGCAGGUGUAGUAGUACACUUUGCCAGUUACUCAGAUACCCCUUUUUUAUUUUCAUAGAUAUUCUGGGAUAAUUCCUUUUUUUUUUUUUUUACUAUAUAUAUGUGCAUGCUGAUGAAAGCAAAAAAGAAAGCACAUCCUUGGAUCUGAGAAGGCACGCGUGUGGUGAGAUGGAAGCAAGGACACGCAAAAAGGAAAUUUAGCACCUCUUGGAUCAGACCUUGAAUGCCACAGUGCUAGGUGUUUAACUGAUGUCCAGGAAGGAGAGAAACUAAUAUUAUGAUGAAAUACAAUGAAUCUGCCUCAGAUUCUCUAAUUCAUCUAUCUGCCAAAGCAGUCUUUUGGAAAGAUGACCACCACAUCAUGUUUCUUCAUCAGUCUGCAGUUGACAUGUUUCAGGAGUAUUAGAAAUAAGCAAUAAUCAGAGGACAAGGAUUAUAUAAACUGAUAAUAUUUACAGCCUCUUUUGCCACUGUCAAAACUGGAAAUUUUCCACUUUUAGUCACUGAACUUUUGGAUUCUUAAAUUUUGAGACAUUCUUUCACACUUAGCCUCUGCAUAAGAAUCUUUAGAAGUUUGUACAGCAGGAAGCAACGUGACUGCAACCCAGGAAGAUUUAGAGUAGAUUUGCAAAUCUUUUUUCCAUUAACAUAGGUAAGUAAGCAGGAGAGACUAGCCUGAGUGACUGCUCCUGCAUUCAUAAAACUGUAGUUUUCAAAUUCUUCUGGAGUAUUCUGAGCAAUUUUACUUACAGACUGCUAUCGAAGUUUAAACCUCAUGCUGAUUUAAGGGGUCUUUGGUCAGGGCACCUGUGUAGAGCCACUCUCUUGAUCCUCGACUCUGCUCAUUUGCCUGGUCCAACAGCAUCAGGACAGCAUCUCAUUCCGCAUUCCUCCCAAAAAUGGAAGUGUGUGAGGGGGUAUCUACUGAAUUGAAAAUUAUUUCAAGUGGAUAAAACGAGAGUAGUAUUGGGCUAGUCUGGACAAUGUCAAGUACACACAAGCCAACCUUGCAGGAAUAUGUGGAUAGAAAGGGAAGAACAGCACAUCUUGAAUUCAGCUAGAAACUUCACCAGCUACAUCAUCACAGACAAAAUAAAAAUAGAUUUAUACUCUUCUGAACUUCAUCUUGCCUUUCAAAUGUUUACAUUUGGAUUUGAGGGGGGAAAAACCGUGUCUUGCUUGCUAUGGAGUAUCAACUUGCCUUCAAAAGAUUUACCAGUAAAAGCCUUGCAUAUGUGAUAUUUGUAUGUGUAUGUGAUAAACAGAUCUUAGUGUGGGCCUCCCCUCCGACACCCCUGCUGGAGCUAGCAUUUUAAAGCAGCUUGGAAUCUGAUCCUAUUAACUACUGGACAUAUAUAGCAUAAGAAUUUAUUGAAAUACUUCGGAAAAUUGUGUUUGGGUAAUAUGAUUGAAAUGGAAAUAUACUAAGUGAAUGAUGAAUAUAUAUGAACUGUAUAUUGCAUAUUAGGAAAUGAAGAGAAUGAAAAUUUCAACAUGGGAUAGUUUUAUUGUAUUCUCUUUUAGCUUAGUUUUUCUUGGACUCUAAUACUGAAGCAUAGAGACUUACAUUUAUAAACAUGAAUCUACUAUUUUUAGAUACUUUUUAAAUCGUUGCUGUGAUAAUAGAGCUGGUUUCCUAGGGAAGUUUCUAAAAAUAUGUUUGGUAAAAUCGUAUCUCACAAAGAUUUUUGGAAGGAAUUCUGUGGACAUUUUGUAAAGCUAUACAUAAUUCUCUAUUCAUUGUUUGAGCGCUUAUGGAUAGGAGAAAAGAAAUGGGCAUGGUGAGUGUCUAAUACGUUAAUCAGGAAAAAAAGUUAAGGCACUAGUUAUUCAUGUGCAUUUUGAGAAUGCUUUGUAUGAAAUAACAAUAUAAUUGCUUUGUGACAUUUCUUAGUGUAUUGUGAUUGCUAACAGAGUUUGCUAAAAUACAUAGAAAUAUUUUAAUAGAUGAUUAUAGAAAUAGAAUAAUUAGAAUACCUCUGAAUGAUGUGUAUUUAUAAUCAUUUGAUCGGAUUAUUGCUGUGGGUUUUUUGCGGGGAGUAGGAUUGUUCUGCAUACAACUGUCUGUAAGAAAUUUUAUUAAGGCUGCUUUAUGUGGAUGUAGAUGUUAUUCUGUAAAUGGUCUUUAUAUGUUAGAAUUUGUAUGGCAUUAGAUUUUAUUCUCAAAAUGAGAUUGUUGCACAAGAGGCCAGCCUCAAUGAACACUUUGCCUGUUCAGGGUUGAGUGGGCUUUUUAUUGCUCUGUAUACACAUGAAAAAAGUACUGUUAUAUCAUCUUAUCAAGCAUAGAAGUGGCUGACAUUUUGGUCAUUUCAAUUGUUAAAAUAUAAUUUUGUUGCUUGCUGAGAGGUGUUUCUAGACUGCUUUGUAAAAGAGCUGAAUUCAGGAGAUAGAGAAUAAGACGUUUUGGAGGGCUGUGUAUGUAUAUAUGCAUGCAUAUAUACAAGGAGAGUUCUUGAACAGCCUCCAGGCGUUACUCCAUGCUCAGAUGUUGGUAAUCUACAUAUGUUUUGUAAAAUAUUCUAAUGUUAAAGAGAGGUAGACUUUUCCCCUUCCACCACUGCAAUUGUUUAAAUUGCCUCUGAACAUUAAUUCAUUUCUGGUAGAUAUUGUUAUACAUUUUGUUAUAAACUGUUAUUAAUGUUAGAUAUUUUUGUUUAACAUCUAGUUUUCUACAUGUAUAGACAUCAUUGUAAAUUCAUUUGAACUUAUAAAGGUAGAACCAUUUUUGUUUGCCAAAAGAGAUGGUUAGAUCUAGCCUCUGUGUUCAUUGAAUCAGUAGGUUCUAUUUUUAGGUUGUGGUAAAUACAAUGUGUAGUAUCUCAUCUAACAUGUCAUUGUUUUAUGACAAGAUUCAUCAUGGUGGAAAUGUCCUUGUAACUGGUGGUCUGCCUUUGCUUAUUGGUUUUAGAAACGUUUGCACACAAAUAACACAGUCCUUUGUAUAACAUAGAGAAACCUCUACUUGUGGUAAAAUAGCAUAGGUUACAAAAGUUUUCAGUUGCCGGUGAAAUUUAACUUUUAAUAAUAGUGAAUUGUUAUUUUAAAGUACUUAGUUGAUUAAGCAAUUUAUAAGUUUUUAUGGGAAAUGUUAGCAAUGGCGUAUCAAAUCUGAGUUCAUUAAAUCAUGAGCCGAUCAAAAGAAUGUUUAUGUAUUAUGUGUAUAUAAUGGACAUAGUUAUUUUUUAAAGGAUAAGAAUACUAUAUCUGCAUGUUUCGUAAGUAUAUUAAUUGUAGAAUGAAAACUUACCCAAAUGGUUGUCACAUUGUCACUAUGAGUAAAUAAUUGGGCAGCUGAAGGGGUUUUUGUUAGAUAGUUGUGUGUAAAAAGUUAGAAUAUGUAAUAGUUUUGCUUUAAACUUUCAGUUCUUGAUUUAUAGGGAUUGCUUACAUAUACAUAUGGGGGUGUGUGUAUGUGUGUAUAUAUAUAUAUAUACACAUGCAUGCACAUAUGUACAUAUAUGUGUAUGAAACAAGUGUUUAUUAAAAUUCAGAAAAUAGAAACAUCAUUUUUUGGCCAAAUAAUUGUCAUUCGGGCUUUAGUCUAUGUUCUUUGGGUUGUUUGAGGGUAGAUGAUAUAGGAAGUUUUAGUUUUUGAACUUUAUUUAGUACCUGGAGGAUACUGUGAGGCUGCUAGAUAUAUGGUAGACAAAUGUUAGUCUUUGUUUUAUAACAUCUGCAUAGGAUUUGCUAAUAGGCAUACAUUUUUGAAGAUCAAACCGAUAUAGACAAAGGUGAAAACACUUUACGUUGGUAAAUUGAAUUCCUAUACUGAGUCCAUUUGGGAUGUAUUUGGUUGAUGGGGAUUAUAUUUUUACUUUGAUUCAUGUAUCGAAGAUAAAUGUCAUUUUAUAAAACAUUUUUGAAUAUGUAACUUCUGUCAAUUUUGAAAAUAUGUUUUUAUUGAAAUGUUAAAGGUAGAAUUACUGUUUGAACAUAGGUGCAGUAGAAUGAGCAUAUUCAUGAGUUUGGCUUGAUUUUAAGGGUUUUUGUUUAUUUUUGUGUUUUGAGUUUUUUAAUUAGAUCUUUUUUGUUAGUAUAUGUCAUUGCCAUUCAUAUUUUUAAAUAUGUAACUUGUAUGAUUUUUCUUAUCUAAUUUUUUGAUUGAUAAAUGUUGGGACAGAGCAGGGAAGCAUUUGACUGCUGUAUAUAUGAUAGACAAGCUUCUUGUAUAACAUCUUAACUUCCUAGGCAUGUAGAAACAUCCUCUUCAUAUGCAGGCACAUGCACACACACAUGAACACACACACACACUCUAAAUAUAUUCAUGUUGAACUAUAGUUAUCUUUAAAACACCUUUUCUUUCUAGAAAUGUAGACAUUGCUGAUAGAAUAUACUUUUAAAUAUCAGGAACUUUUUUAUCAGUAUAGUAAUUAGCGUUUUUUGCAUGUUCAGUGGUUUGUGGUGACGGAUAUGGACAAGGGUGUUGGAUGUUUUCUGAUCUCAUGUCUGUAGUAUAUGAUGCUUUAGCUUUAUUCUUUUUGGUUUAUAGAGAUUGUGGACAUCCGUAUGUUUCAGUCAUGCGGUUUUAAACUGUAAGGUUGAAACGCUUAACUUUUGCAAAUGUUUUUAGAAACUAUAUGGCUUGGUCUUUUUUUUUUUAAAUAACUGAGUUUAUAAUAGUUGCUUUAUAACGUUUUGAGUGUGAAUGUAUAGAACUGUUGAUAAACGGAAUGAUAGAGGUUAGAACCAGUUUCUUUUGAUAUUUUUAGUUCACCCAUAUGGAGUCUUCAUUGGACUGCUGGGAUCCUUAAAGACAAAUUACCAUAAUUGAGUUAAAACUCUCUGAGCUAUAUUCUUGUUCCUUAUGUAUAUAUUAUCAUGUUAGGGAGAAGAUCGUGACAUUUAAAAGUUCUUUUACAUCAUAUUUUCAUUUAAAAGAAAAAUUAGAUUAUAAACAUUAAAUUGUUUCCAUUUUAUAUAAAAAUAUCUGUCAGUUUCAGGAACAUGUAGGUAUAUCUUAUUUUCCAGGUGUACUGAAGUUAAUUAUGCAAUUCAGUUUUCUAAAGAACAUUUUAUAAAAUCUCUGAGUUAUGUACUUCUUUGUUUAUCUGUUACAUGGCAAUAACCAAGAUAAUUUUGUAAAUAAUGGCAAGUAAGAUAGUUAAUUUUAAAUAUCUAGUAUUUCUACAUGUAUUGAGAGUCUCACAAAGUAUAAUUUUGUAAAUAUUCAUUGUAAAUGUGUUCUCUUGUCUUCUAAAAUUAACGUGGCAAUGAAACUGAUUGUUGAUAAACAGACUCUUGGGGUUAUACAAAAUUAAUCGUAUAUUAAUUUGGUCGUUAGAAGGAAUUGACAGGAUUUUGCGUUUACCUCAUUCUCAUAUAGAAGAAUAGUUUCUAUUGUAUCAAAUAUGAAUUGUAUAUUAAAAAAACUUAGACAAUGUAAAUUUAUGUGGUAUUUCUGGAUGUAGUGAACUUCCUCACUUAUUUCUUUAAUGUUGCUUAAUUUUUUUAGAACAGUUUUAGGUUCACAGCAAAAUUGAAGGGAAGGUACAGAGAUUUCCCUUAGACCUUUUACCGCAACACAUCUGUAAUCAUCCCCUUUAUCAGCAUUCUCCAACAGAGUAGUACAUUUGUUACAAUUGGUGAACCUACAUUGAUACAUUGCAAUCACUCAAAACUCAUAGUUUAUGUUACGGUUUACUGUUGGUGUUGUACAUUCUAUGGGUUUGGACAAAUCUGUGAUAACUUGGAUCCAUCACUGCCCCGAAAGUCCUCCGUGCUCUGCCUAUUCAUACCUCCCCAUAUAUUUUUUUCUUUUGUUUUUAACAUUCAGCAUAUAAAUGACUUUAUCAAGGAGAUUUUCUACUACCUCUUGGAACUAUACACAGUUCUGUAUGUGUUCCCUUGGUUGCAUGACAAUAUUCAAGACAACUUUGUAAAUAACAGAUGUAGUAUUUUGAAAGAAUGUGGUUUUUCUAGAUGAAUGGAGUUUCACAAACAUAAAUCUGUAAAUAUUUCAUUGUAAAAUAUCAUAAAUUGUCUCAUGUAAAUGUUUUGGCUGUGUAAUUAAUUAAUAAUUGGCCUCUUAGGGCUGUUUAACAUUUUGGUGUUUGUUCACUGAGUUUUGGGAAGAGAGAUAGACACAUCCCCUCAGAUUGUUAAGCUUUCAUGUAGAAGAAAACAUUAGAUUGUAUACUUAGAACAAACAAAGAAAAAUACCCCUGGAUGUAUUUUUAAUUUUAGGAAGAAAAAGGAAGACAUGAGAAGGAAUCAUCAUUUUAAAUCACAGAUUCACAGGAGAUUCUCACAUUGCUAAAGUAAUUGUCACUUUGCUAUACUAUAUAAAUUUACUCUUUACAAAUUUAUAUAUGUAUAUGCAUAGAUAUAAAGGUAUAUAUACACAUAUACAGGUAAAAUUACUUUUAGGGAUAUAGAUUUGAUAAUACUCUCUUUUGUCAUUUGUUAACUUAUUGCUUCACAUUUUUUUUGAAAACAAUGGAGAUAGUAUUUUAAUUCUAAGCUUAAACAUUUCUAGAGGCCCACUUCAUGUUAUAGCUACAUGUAUGUUAAUUUUUUAUAUAAAAUGAUUAAGUAGCUCUGUAUCUGUUUCCUAGUCUGUUUCCAUAUAUACACAUAUAUGUGAACAGAAUUCCUCUGAUAAUGAAUAUUUUAAAAAAUUUUUGAGGACCUUUAAAAUUUUCCAGUGAAUAGUUAUAUUUGAUAUGUGAUAGUCAGAAACAAAUGUCAAAAGUCUUUCAUCUCAGUUGCCUCUAAUAUAAAUUAUGAAAAUUUCUUAGAUUCUAUUCAGUGUUCAUCAAAGUAUAAAUCAGUGUACCUUUUUAAACAGUUUGGCACUGACGAUAAUAAUUGAGUAUGUAAAACUUUUAAAAUGGUAUAACUUGCUCUUGAUUUUAUCUAUUGCAACUCUCAAAGAAGAAAGUAUGUUUUGUAGAUUGAGAUGACAAAUAAUUUGAACAUCUGAAAUCCUCAUCAAUAAAAGGUCGUAGUGAUUACAGCUUAUUGGUCACAUGAAUGUAAUUCAAAUACUGAAAAAAAAAUUCUCGUAUGGAAGGCUGUUUUUAGGUCAUAUUUAAAAUUGUCAUUUUUGAACAAACAUCAAUUAAUUGUGUUUACAAUGGUGUCUAUAUGCCUCCAGUUUUUCAAACUGAAGUGUUAAUGGUUACUAUUCCUGGGGAAUGGGAUUAUCCUGGUAUGAUUAUCGUGUUAAGUAAUGCUUACUGGUCAGUGUUAUUUUAAUGGUGAUUAUUUUACCAUUUUUUGGAAUUUUUGUACAUGUAUAAUUUAAAUAGUAAAACAUUGUUUAUGUAUUUGUAUGUUGCUACAUGACAAUCUAAAAUGAAUAUAUGAAUUAUUAAAUAAAAACAUAUCUGGAAGGACGUAUGAAAAAGUUUUAACAUAACUGUAUAGAGAUAGAGGAAUAGAAGGACUGCUUCUACUUUCUGCAUUUGAAAUUUUAAAGCUAUUUCAAAAGGAACAUUUAAACAGAGGGAAUUUUAAAGAUACCAGCAGUUUGUGCCUGUCUUCGUCCUUGCCUCUCGACAUCUUGGGAUUUGGGGCUGUUGUAUCCAACUUUGUAUUCUCAGUGGCCAUUAUGAGUGGUUUUUGAGUGGUCAUGAAGAGCAUGUGAUUUAGAGACUUGUGCAGCAGAGAGUUUUACAGAGUGAACACAGAGUAUUGGAUCACCCAAGGAAAGAAGGGAGAAGAUGGGAUUUGAGUUGGAUAUGAUGGAAGAAAAACAUUUGCAGAUAAUCUGAGUACAGCUGUGACAUCAUCAGGAACAUUCCUCUUUUAUGGAGUUCCUUGAUUCAUAAGUCUUACCCAUGAAUCAAAGGAGAUGAUAAUUCCGAGAAAAGAUACUUUACCAAGUUCAUUUUUAAUCCCAAGAAUCGGUGCCACUGGAUCUCUAUUGCAAUAUUCCUCAUUCAGGUGUUCGUCACUGCCAUCUCUGGUCCUAGGAGUACCCCUUGGCGAUAUGAUUGUGAUGACUGAAUAGGAAACUGAUGCCAUUUCUUCUGACACCAUCUUCAUCAAACCAAAAGAUGGUCUUCAUAAUGUAUGGAGACUCUUUCGUGUGUUGCAGUGGACACUCCUUGCAGAUCAGAAAAACCGGACUGAGAAAGCUCAUGUUUUAAAGUAAUCUAAAGAGUGUAAUUGGAGAGAAUUGUAACCAGGCCUGUUGACAGUUUUCAUUGUUGCCAUUGGACUAAAUCUCAGGAGCUUGAAUGCCAGAGACGUUAUUACACAGAAUCUCAGGAUGGUGUAAUUGCAAGGCUUCAUUUCAGUGUUCCCAUAAGUAUUAAGUGCAUGUAUUUAUAAUUUUCACUUAUCACAGGAUCAACUUAAAAUUAUUUCAUAAAAAAUCAUCUUGUUCAAGAUUUUAAAGGUAUAGAAAUUUGUGAAGUAUGGUAUUUUUAACUCAUGCCCUUUUCCCCUCAUAAUUCUAUUCUCCAGCGUUAUCUACUGUCAGUGUAGUUUUGUGCACAUCUUUUUGGGGUGUGUUGAUAAACAGAUUGAUAAUGCAACUCUCUUUUUGGCCCAUAUUAUGUCUAUAAAUUUUCUAUGCCGUAAAAAGGCAUACAGAUAAAUUAUUUUGAUAAUUUCAGAGAAUUGGAACUGCUAGGACUAGGGAUGUCCAAAAAUUUAUGUUUUGAGUCAAAACUACAGCUUUCCCCCUAAUCAUAGAGAGAGAGUCCUCAUCACUAUUGUCUCCCAGUGUUUGUUCAUGAGAGUUCUGUUUCGUAAAAUGGUACACAUGUUAGAUGUCAGUGUUUUAAUCGUUAACAAUGCGAUAUUACGAAGAAAUUGCUUUUUUUCUUCUCUUGUUUGUCUCCAUCAUCUUCGUAUAUCCUUAAUCCUUACUAGUCAUUUGUGUUAUUUCAUUUUCCUCUGCUUUUUGUUUUUUUCCAUUUCCCUUGGAGUAUGAGUGUCUUUGUUGCUCAUUUCUAAAAGCUCAUUUAUAACUAAAGAUGUUAACCAUAUGUCAUGCAUUGCAAGUGAAAUACCAUGUUUUCUUUUCGGCAUCAUUUUACUGUGGUGUUUUAUUUUUUGGUUGUACAAAAGUUGUGUAUUGAAAUACAAUAAUGUUCUGUUUUAU